rnacentral:misc_RNA from 1 species
AGGCCCAAUUUUCAAAUCUCCCCGUAACUUCCUCAAUCUCCUUCCCUUCUCCGGCGAAAUCUACCCUCUAAAUUAUUUUUUCCGGCGAAAUCCUCUCAACUAGACGGGCACUAUUGCCUCUUCACUGAGUCUCCAUCGGAUUCCGGCCUUUGGCUUUUUGAAGCUGGGAUAGUAUUAGGAAUUGGUGUUCCCUACAAAGAUAU